GGACGAACGCUGGCGGCGUGCCUAAUACAUGCAAGUCGAGCGGACCUCUUCGGAGGUUAGCGGCGGACGGGUGAGUAACACGUGGGCAACCUGCCUGUAAGACUGGGAUAACUCCGGGAAACCGGAGCUAAUACCGGAUAGUAUCUUGAACCGCAUGGUUCAAGCUGGAAAGACGGUUUCGGCUGUCACUUACAGAUGGGCCCGCGGCGCAUUAGCUAGUUGGUGAGGUAAUGGCUCACCAAGGCAACGAUGCGUAGCCGACCUGAGAGGGUGAUCGGCCACACUGGGACUGAGACACGGCCCAGACUCCUACGGGAGGCAGCAGUAGGGAAUCUUCCGCAAUGGACGAAAGUCUGACGGAGCAACGCCGCGUGAGUGAUGAAGGUUUUCGGAUCGUAAAACUCUGUUGUUAGGGAAGAACAAGUGCGAGAGUAACUGCUCGCACCUUGACGGUACCUAACCAGAAAGCCACGGCUAACUACGUGCCAG
rnacentral:rRNA from 1 species